rnacentral:rRNA from 1 species
AUACGGAGGAUACGAGCGUUAUCCGGAUUUAUUGGGUUUAAAGGGUGCGCAGGCGGCCAUUUAAGUCAGCGGUUAAAUCGUGGGGCUCAACCCCAUUCUGCCGUUGAUACUGGGUGGCUUGAUUGCGGUCGAGGUUGGCGGAAUUCGUUGUGUAGCGGUGAAAUGCAUAGAUAUGACGAAGAACACCGAUUGCGUAGGCAGCUGACCAGACCGCAAAUGACGCUCAUGCACGAAAGUGCGGGGAUCGAACAGGAUUAGAUACCCUGGUAGUCCGCACAGUAAACGAUGAAUACUUGUUUUCGGCGAUAUAAUGUCGGAGGCAAAGCGAAAGCGAUAAGUAUUCCACCUGGGGAGUACGCCGGCAACGGUGAAACUCAAAUGAAUUGACGGGG